rnacentral:rRNA from 1 species
AAUAUUGGACAAUGGAGGAGACUCUGAUCCAGCCAUGCCGCGUGCAGGAUGACGGCCCUAUGGGUUGUAAACUGCUUUUAUACAGGAAGAAACCUUUCCACGUGUGGAAAGCUGACGGUACUGUAAGAAUAAGGACCGGCUAACUCCGUGCCAGCAGCCGCGGUAAUACGGAGGGUCCGAGCGUUAUCCGGAAUCAUUGGGUUUAAAGGGUCCGUAGGCGGGCCUAUAAGUCAGGGGUGAAAGUUUGUGGCUCAACCAUAAAAUUGCCCUUGAUACUGUAGGUCUUGAGUUAUAGUGAAGUUGCCGGAACAUGUGGUGUAGCGGUGAAAUGCAUAGAUAUCACAUAGAACACCAAUUGCGAAGGCAGGUGACUAACUAUAUACUGACGCUGAUGGACGAAAGCGUGGGGAGCGAACGGGAUUAGAUACCCCGGUAGUCCACGCCGUA